rnacentral:sRNA from 1 species
UGUAAUAUCAAGUGGCGCAGUAUUCUAGUCAGAUGUUGCAGAUGUGAAGACGGGGGUAAAAGACCGUCGUAGGGCAUAUCUAUGAAGUUUCUGGUAUCUGCUUGCUUUGCCCAAAAGCGGGUGGGUGCUGGGAGUAAAGGUUUAUGGGAACUGCAUAACGGCAUAUGACAGCCAACCCAUUUACCGCGGAGGCCGCAAUAUCGCUUGCGGAUAAACCUGCUGCCGGGCGCAAGCUCGGUACAGAGUAGCCUGCCUUGAGUGAAAUCAGCGGAUAGCAGAUCUAAGUUUUAUUCGGCGCGGCCACGCCGUUUAAGCUAUCGCUGUUUGAAAUUGAUUUUGCAAAAGAGGAUAAACCCUGCAUCAGCUGUCAAGGAAAGCUUCUAGACUGUCAACGUAUUAGAGAUUACGGUGUGGACUCAGUGGCGAUUCGGUUGUGCAUCAGGCGACUAUGCAACCGCACUCUUAAAAGGAAACUGCUUCUUCGGUGACGGGAAGUGAGCGCGGGGGAAAUCCUACCGAACCUAAAGCCGCAAAGUUUAUUUAAUAUAAGCCACUUCAUAUUU